rnacentral:rRNA from 1 species
CCUACGGGCGGCUGCAGUGGGGAAUAUUGGACAAUGGGGGGAACCCUGAUCCAGCCAUGCCGCGUGUGUGAAGAAGGCCCUCGGGUUGUAAAGCACUUUCAGUGAGGAAGAACGCCUGGUGGUUAAUACCCAUCAGGAAAGACAUCACUCACAGAAGAAGCACCGGCUAACUCCGUGCCAGCAGCCGCGGUAAUACGGAGGGUGCGAGCGUUAAUCGGAAUUACUGGGCGUAAAGCGCGCGUAGGUGGCUUGAUAAGCCGGUUAUGAAAGCCCCGGGCUCAACCUGGGAACGGCAUCCGGAACUGUCAAGCUAGAGUGCAGGAGAGGAAGGUAGAAUUCCCGGUGUAGCGGUGAAAUGCGUAGAGAUCGGGAGGAAUACCAGUGGCGAAGGCGGCCUUCUGGACUGACACUGACACUGAGGUGCGAAAGCGUGGGUAGCAAACAGGAUUAGAUACCCGGGUGUC